rnacentral:piRNA from 1 species
UGAGGCUUCGUUUAAGGUCAGUGCUGAGAA